rnacentral:SRP_RNA from 1 species
GCCAGGCAUGGUGGCGUGUGCCUGUAGUCCCAGCUACUCAGGAGGCUGAGGCCAGAGAAUCGCUUGAACCCAGGAGGCAGAGGUUGCAGUGAGCCGAGAUCGUGCCACAGCAGUCUGGCCUGGGUGACAGAGCGAGAUUCUGUCUCAA